rnacentral:tRNA from 1 species
GGAAAGGUGGCGCGGGUAGGCGUUGGCCUUUUCCGGCAGGCCCACCCGCUUGAUCAGUUCGUGGGCGUGCUCGAUGGCGUCGGACUUCUUCUCC